rnacentral:tRNA from 1 species
ACCAUCAUGAUAUAAUGGUGAGUACACUCGGCGCGUAACCGAGAGGUCCGUGGUUCGAUUCCCGGCGAAGGCG